rnacentral:lncRNA from 1 species
UAAGUGUAUUCGUCUUGAGUAAAGUGUUAAUUGACCAAUUUUAUUUGAAAUGAUUCAAAUUAAGAUAUUAUUACUAAUAACUACAUUGAUAUAACUAAAAUUAAAGAUGAAUUGAUAAGUUCAAUUACGAUUUCAAUUAUUCUCAUAUUAAUUACACGAUCAUCUUAGUAUGUUCGUUCUGAGUAGAGUGAUCGAUUGACUAAUUUUAUUUGAAAUGAUUCAAAUUAAGCCAUUAUUAGUAAUAGCCAAAUUGAAUUAAUAAUUACAAUUUCAAUUAAUCUCAUAGUAAUUACAUGAUCAUUU